GAGUUUGAUCCUGGCUCAGAUUGAACGCUGGCGGCGGGCCUAACACAUGCAAGUCGAGCGGUAGAGAGAAGCUUGCUUCUCUUGAGAGCGGCGGACGGGUGAGUAAUGCCUAGGAAUCUGCCUGGUAGUGGGGGAUAACGCUCGGAAACGGACGCUAAUACCGCAUACGUCCUACGGGAGAAAGCAGGGGACCUUCGGGCCUUGCGCUAUCAGAUGAGCCUAGGUCGGAUUAGCUAGUUGGUGAGGUAAUGGCUCACCAAGGCGACGAUCCGUAACUGGUCUGAGAGGAUGAUCAGUCACACUGGAACUGAGACACGGUCCAGACUCCUACGGGAGGCAGCAGUGGGGAAUAUUGGACAAUGGGCGAAAGCCUGAUCCAGCCAUGCCGCGUGUGUGAAGAAGGUCUUCGGAUUGUAAAGCACUUUAAGUUGGGAGGAAGGGCAGUAAAUUAAUACUUUGCUGUUUUGACGUUACCGACAGAAUAAGCACCGGCUAACUACUGUGCCAGCCGCCGA
rnacentral:rRNA from 1 species